UGACGGUACCUGACUAAGAAGCUCCGGCUAAAUACGUGCCAGCAGCCGCGGUAAUACGUAUGGAGCAAGCGUUAUCCGGAUUUACUGGGUGUAAAGGGAGCGUAGGCGGUGAUGCAAGUCAGAAGUGAAAACCCGGGGCUCAACCCCGUGGAUUGCUUUUGAGACUGUGUUGCUGGAGUACAGGAGGGGCAGGCGGAAUUCCUGGUGUAGCGGUGAAAUGCGUAGAUAUCAGGAGGAACACCGGUGGCGAAAGCGGCUCUCUGGUCUGUAACUGACGCUGAGGUUCGAAAGCGUGGGUAGCAAACAGGAUUAGAUACCCUG
rnacentral:rRNA from 1 species